CUUAUCCUUUCCUUGCAGCGUGAUGUCUGUAACCAGCAGCCAAAUCUCCCUUUGUUCCAGAAGAAGCAGACUCUUCAGCUACAGUUUGAAGACAAGCAGGAAAAGAACCAGUGACCCCAAGGCAGCAACAAAGAGAAGAUGGACAUCCAGAGACGUGCUGAGAUCUCCCAGUAUUAAAGUUCAAAGGGCAGUGUUCAUGAGAGCCUGUUUAUGACUGAAUUGCUACUUUCCUCACUGAGGUAACUGAGAUAACAUCAAGGAAAGUACAUUUUGGAGAACGGAUGACACAAGCGAACAAUGAACAAGAAAAGUUAGAUAAGAAGCCUUGAAUGCUAUUUUGGCCAGAAGGACAAGAACUCUAGGCUUUCUGAUGAUGUCUCUACAUCUGCAGGUCACCUUGGCUUGCAAGAGAAGCAAAGGUAUAUUGCAGCUCAAUUCACAAUAGCUAAGACAUGGAAUCAACCUAAAUGCCCAUCAAGUGAAGACUGGAUAAAGAAACUAUGAGCUUAAUGUCACAUCAUGCCAGUUGGAGAAUAUUUCAAAAUUAUAAAAAUGCAUGUUGUUCAUUGAUAAAAGCAACAGAACAAAGCCCAAGGCAUAAGGACAACAAAACCGAGGAUCUUUACAGAAUGGGAGAAUAAGUAAAUUCCUCUUUUAAGUUUUCAGAGCCCUCCCCCACUUCUCAAACCCCGCACUUCCCACUGAAUGGUGCAGGCCGUCCUUAGAGGAAGAAGAGAAGGAGGAGGAGGAGGGUUCGGCCUCAGGCCGGGCCUGUGCCGGGUGACGCCUGCCUAGCAGGCCACCGAGAAUUCCCGGAAUCCUUCUAGGUCACUGUCAAUCCCAGCAGCCCCUGAAGAUCAACAAGGAUCUUCCUCACCGCUUUCUAAACUCUUCUUACAGCUCAGUUAGGGGAAGACAGAAAUAAAAGGAAAGGCGUGCCGACGAGCCGGUGAAGGGGUCUAGGGGCGCGCGUGGACCAGGGGCGAGACCAGCCGAGGGCGCCUCCGGGGCGAGUGGGCGGGGCCGCCGCUGCAGCCGCCGGGAAACCAGAGACAGCAGGACAUUGUGUUCUUCUCCUCAAAAACAACCAGCCUCGGCCUCCCAAAGUAAACAGUUAAUCCUGUUGUUUAUCUUUUUAACAUGACGAGAAGUUAACAGCACAGUUUCUACUGCACAGAAAUGUGUUUUUCGUUCACUUAAGAAUUGUAUUUUCUCCUCGCUGAAAUGUGACAUGUAAACUUUCUAAUAUCAGCGAACAGGAAGAAAUAACAAUCUCUCUUUGCUGAAAGUGAUUCGACUUGGAAAAAGUCUGAGAAAGAUCUUUUCUACACUCCACAUCCUUUUUAUUUUUGGAAAAUAGCGCAUGACUGAAAUGAACAACAGCAAGCCACCCGUGCGCAGCAAGUUUGGUCUGUAAGGAAGGCACAAAUAAAACAGCUGACACAAUCAGUGCCAGCUUGGACUUUGAUUUUGGUUAUUGCCCAGGAAGAUAAGAUGCUUUAUAACCUGAUAGAAGUUUACCUGUGGAACAGGUUUGUCAAAGACAGUUACCUCAUGCCUAAUUAUUAAUUGAAAUUUCUAUUGAGAUAAUUGUAGAGAAACGUGUAGUUGUAAGAGACAAUCCAGAGAGAUCCAGCUCAGCCCAAUCACAACAAGGCAUCACAAAGUGGAUACUGAUAUUGCUACAACCUGUUACUCUAACUCAUAUUUCACCAAGUUUACUUGUAUGUGUGCACAUUUAGCUGUAUCCUUCACAGGUUUUAGCACCUGUGUAGGAACCUGUAUUCACCACCACAGGUAAGAUAUUGAGCACAGGAGGCAUCCCAUAUGGCUGCUCCACCUCCUAUCCAGCACUCUGCUAUGGUCUGGGAAAUUUGUGGCAGAUGGUCCAAGCAAGUCGUUGGGCCCCUGCAUCCCCGUGGGAGACCCAGAAGAAGCUCCUGGCUCCUGGUUUCACAUCAGCCCAACUCCAGCCAUUGCAGCAUUUGAGGAGUGAAAGCAGAUGGAGGACCUGUCUCUCUCUCUCUCGCUCUCUCUCUCUGCCUCUCUGUAACUCUGCCUUAAAAAUAAUAAAUCAACCUUUAAGAAAAAGAGUGGAAGAUACUGAGCAUAAGGAUCUCUCAAGUUACCCUUUUAUAAUCUCUUUCCACCUCCCCUCCCUCCAUCCCUAACAUCUGGAAAUCACUAAUCUGUCUAUCUAAAAUCUUGCCACUUCAAAAAUAUUAUAAAAAUGUAAUUGUCCAGUGUAUACUCUUCGUGAUUGGAUUUUCUUCCCUUAGGACAAUUCCCUGUGAAUAAUAAAAGCUAUUAUGCUUUUUAUUUUUAUAAUAGCUUUACUGAGAUAUAACAUACCAUAAAAUUGACCUCUUUUUAGUGUGGCAAAAUACACAUAAAAUUUACCAUUUUAAUAACUUUAAAGUAUACAACAGUGGCAUGAAGUACAUUUGCAAUGUUCUGCAACCAUCAGUACUGUCUAGUUCCUUAAUGUAUGCUUUCAUCCCCCAAAAGGAAACUUCACUCCAUUAAGCAACCAUUGCCAUUCUUCCCUCCUCAAAAUUAAUCUACUUUCUGCCUCUGCAAAUUUGCCUAUUAUAGAUAGGUCACACAAAUGGAAUCACAGAAUAUGUGGCUUUUGUGCCUGGCUUCUUUUCACGUAGCAUAAUGUUUUUUAAUUUAUGGUAUUGUAGCAUACAUUAUUUUUUCAUUUCAUUCCUUUUUGUUAUUGAAUAAUAUUCCAUUACAUGGCUCUGUCAUAUUUAUUUCUCUAUCAGCUGAUGGGCAGGGGAUUAUUUCCAUUUUUUUCAUGUAUGAAUAAUGCUGUUAUGAACAUCUUUUUAGAAGUUACAUGAACAUGCUUGUGUGUAUAUCUAUGGAGUGGAAAUGUUGACUUAUUUGGUAAUUCUGUUUAACUUUUUGAGGAACUGCCAGAUUGUUUUUCAAAGUGGCUGCACCAUUUUACAUUCUUACCAGCAGUAUAUGAGGGUUUUAGCUUCUUCACAGUCUCAUCAACUUCUAUUACUAAAAAUUUAAAAAAAUUUUUACAUUGCCAUACAAAUGGGUGUGGUUUUGAUUUGAAUUUCCCUAAAGACUAGUGAUGUUGUACUUAAUGGUCAUUUUUUUUUUUCAUUUUCAUAUCAUCUUUGGAGAAAUGUCUAUUCAAACCUUUUGAUUACUUUUUUUAUUUAGGCUUUUUUAUUGUUGAGUUGUAAGUGUUCUUUAUAUAUCCUGGAUAGUGAUUUGCAAAAAAGUUUUCCCAUUCUGUGGAUUGUCUUUUCAUUUCUACACCAGUUUUUUGAAGCACAAAGGUUUUUAAUUUGAUGAAGUCCCAUUAAUAUAUUUUUCUUCUGUUUAUGCUUUUGGUGUCAAGUCCAAGAAACUAUAGCCUGAUACAUAAGGUUAUGAAGAUAUAGUACUAGUUUUCUUCUGAGAAUUUUAGCUCUUAGAUUUUUAUUUAUUUGAAAGGCAGAUUGGGGAGGAGGUGAGAAAAGAGAUAUCAGUCUUCCAUCUGCUGUUUUUUUUCCCCAAAUGGCCACAAUGGUUGGGGCUAAGCCAGGCCAAAGCUAGGAAAGCCAGGAACUCCAUCCUGGUCUCUGAUGUGGGCAGCAGGGGCCCACGUACUUGAGCCUCUUUUUGCUGCCUUCCUAGACACAUUAGCAGGAAACUGGAUUGGAACUAGAGCAGCCAGGACCCCAAAAGGCCUUCUGAUAUGGCAUGCCACAGUCCCAAGUAGUGGUUUAAACACUUGUGCUACAAUGCCAACCCGGGGUUCUUACAUUAGGUCCAUGAUCCAUUUUGACUUAAUUUUCGUGUAUGGUAUGAGGCAAGGGACCUACUUUAUUGUUUUGUAGUAGAUAACCCAGUUGUCCCACAAUCAUUUGCUGCAAUAACUAUUCUUUCUCCAUUGAACUGACACCCUUGUCAAAAAUCAAAUGACUCAUAAUGCAAGGUAUUAUAUCUUUUAAAGAACAUAUGCCACAAAUAUAUAAAAAAUAAUGUCUUAUGUACAGAUCUUUUUCUUUCUUUUUAGCUUGGAAGUUUGUUGAGAGCAGGAACCAUAUUUAUUAUUCCCAAAGCACCAAUCAGAGCCCUUAGAUUUAUGCUUUACAGAUGCUGAUAUGUGCUGGUUGUACCAAGUUGAAUUAUUUAUUCACCCUUUGUAGAGAAAGAAGGCAUAAGACAUGGUUCCUUCUCUUGGAGACAAUUAAAAUUAUCUACACAGACAGUUCAUAAAGUGGGACCUAUAUCUCACUACGGAGUAUAGAAGUAGAAAGGGAAGUAUUCUUGUCUUAGUUAAGUUCUACAUUAGGAUAAGACUAAUGAAAGAAAUGAGGGAGGGAGAAGGAAGUUUAGUGCUUAAAAUGUGCUCAUGAGAGUAUUUAAGGCAUGGAAAGCCAAGACACUCUGGCAAAAAGAUCUCUGUGAGUGAGAUCCCAGUGGAAAGAACAGGUCUUCAAAGAGGGAGGUGCCUUUCUCUGAAGGGAGGAGAGAACCUCCACUUUGACUAUGACCGUGUCUAAACAAGAUAAGAGUCGGAGAACUCAAGGGGCUUCCAUAGCCUUGGAAACUCAUGACUGGUGCAUAGGGAGAUUACUGAUGCCAUAAACAGGAGUGUCAAUUUGUAAAGUCAACAACAGGAGUCACUGUGCACUUACUCCUCAUGUAGGAUCUCUGUCCUUAAUGUGCUGUACACUGAGGCUUAAUGCUAUAACGAGUACUCAAACAGUAUAUUUCACUUUGUGUUUCUAUGGGGGUGCAAACGAUUGAAAUCUUUACUUAAUGUACACUAAACUGAUC